CUCAGUAAAAGGCGAAAUGCGUUUCUCUGUAGCGUCGCGAGGGGAGAACGGAGUUGGCCUUAAAUAUAAUACUCCAUGGAAACAUUAGAAUGGAUCGGCUUGUCUCCUGCAAGAGCACCCACACCUACCCGCUAUCUCAGCCAGCCAACAGAACUUCCAUCUCAACUAGUGAGGCAGGAUGUCUGGAGGAAAAUGGAAGAUUUAGCCUGGCGCUGUCUAACUGUUGCUGAUGCUGCCUGCUAUCCCGGCCACCGAGGACUCUGUGUUUAUUCUGCCUGGAGGAAGCUUUGGAAAGAAUCUCAAACAGCCCUGAAUUUAGUUUGCAGCCAACCCACUGGAAAAAGAAACAAAUGAAUAAAAUGCAUUGAUAACUGGCA